GAUGAAGAACGCAGCGAAACGCGAUAGUUAAUGUGAAUUGCAGAAUUCAGUGAAUCAUCGAGUCUUUGAACGCACAUUGCGCCUUUUGGUAUUCCGAGAGGCACGUCUGUUUGAGCGUCAGCAAAACCUUCCGGCCCCCGGUUUUUUUCCCGGGGGCACGGGCAUGCUGGCGCGGGGACUGACCGCCGGCGCUUCGGUGCCGGACGGCCUUCCCCCGCUUAAAGGUGUGGAAGCUUGCGGGGUGUGCCCCGGACCGCGACGACUCGUAAGCACUUACCGUCGAACGCAUCCGCGGACGCCCCCGCCUCUUAACCCGGCCGUUAAAUAUUUUUUCGGCCUCGAACCCUUGACCUCAGAUCAGACGAGGAUACCCGCUGAACUUAAGCAUAUCAAUAAGCGGAGGA
rnacentral:misc_RNA from 1 species